rnacentral:rRNA from 1 species
AAUACGUAUGGUGCAAGCGUUAUCCGGAUUUACUGGGUGUAAAGGGUGCGUAGGUGGUGAGACAAGUCUGAAGUGAAAAUCCGGGGCUUAACCCCGGAACUGCUUUGGAAACUGCCUGACUAGAGUACAGGAGAGGUAAGUGGAAUUCCUAGUGUAGCGGUGAAAUGCGUAGAUAUUAGGAGGAACACCAGUGGCGAAGGCGACUUACUGGACUGCUACUGACACUGAGGCACGAAAGCGUGGGGAGCAAACA